AUUGAACGCUGGCGGCAUGCUUUACACAUGCAAGUCGAACGGUAACAGGCCGCAAGGUGCUGACGAGUGGCGAACGGGUGAGUAAUGCAUCGGAACGUGCCCAGUCGUGGGGGAUAACGCAGCGAAAGCUGCGCUAAUACCGCAUACGCUCUAUGGAUGAAAGCGGGGGACCGUAAGGCCUCGCGCGAUUGGAGCGGCCGAUGUCAGAUUAGGUAGUUGGUGGGGUAAAGGCUCACCAAGCCAACGAUCUGUAGCUGGUCUGAGAGGACGACCAGCCACAAUGGGACUGAGACACGGCCCAGACUCCUACGGGAGGCAGCAGUGGGGAAUUUUGGACAAUGGGCGCAAGCCUGAUCCAGCAAUGCCGCGUGCAGGAAGAAGGCCUUCGGGUUGUAAACUGCUUUUGUACGGAACGAAAAGGCUCUGGUUAAUACCUGGGGCUCAUGACGGUACCGUAAGAAUAAGCACCGGCUAACUACGUGCCAGCAGCCGCCGUAACAC
rnacentral:rRNA from 1 species